rnacentral:rRNA from 1 species
AUUGAACGCUGGCGGCAGGCCUAACACAUGCAAGUCGAGCGGAGCGGCGGACGGGUGAGUAAUGCCUAGGAAUCUGCCUGGUAGUGGGGGAUAACGUAGGGAAACUUACGCUAAUACCGCAUACGUUUAAAUGAGCCGAUGGCGGCUUAGCUAGUUGGCGGGGUAAAGGCCUACCAAGGCGACGAGCCCUAGCUGGUCAGAGAGGAUGACCAGCCACACUGGAACUGAGACACGGUCCAGACUCCUACGGGAGGCAGCAGUGGGGAAUAUUGGACAAUGGGCGCAAGCCUGAUGCAGCCAUGCCGCGUGUAUGAAGAAGGCCUUCGGAUUGUAAAGUACUUUCAGCGGGGAGGCGUUACCCGCAGAAGAAGCACCGGCUAACUCCGUGCCAGCAGCCGCGGUAAUAC